rnacentral:rRNA from 1 species
GACGAACGCUGGCGGCGUGCUUAACACAUGCAAGUCGAACGGAAAGGCCCUGCUUUUGUGGGGUGCUCGAGUGGCGAACGGGUGAGUAACACGUGAGUAACCUGCCCUUGACUUUGGGAUAACUUCAGGAAACUGGGGCUAAUACCGGAUAGGAGCUCCUGCUGCAUGGUGGGGGUUGGAAAGUUUCGGCGGUUGGGGAUGGACUCGCGGCUUAUCAGCUUGUUGGUGGGGUAGUGGCUUACCAAGGCUUUGACGGGUAGCCGGCCUGAGAGGGUGACCGGCCACAUUGGGACCGAGAUACGGCCCAGACUCCUACGGGAGGCAGCAGUGGGGAAUAUUGCACAAUGGGCGGAAGCCUGAUGCAGCAACGCCGCGUGCGGGAUGACGGCCUUCGGGUUGUAAACCGCUUUCGCCUGUGACGAAGCGUGAGUGACGGUAACGGGUAAAGAAGCACCGGCUAACUACGUG